AAGUCGUAACAAGGUUUCCGUAGGUGAACCUGCGGAAGGAUCAUUAACAAUUUUGGAGGCAGGCUGUAUAAGUCUGGUUGGCAACAACUAGCAUGCCCCUCUCUAUUGUACCCUUGUCUAUUUGCGCACUCAUGUUUCCUCGGUGGGCUUGCCCGCCGAUUGGACAACCUUAAAACCUUUUUAAUUGUUAAAUCAGCGUCUGAAAUAAACUUAAUAAUUACAACUUUCAACAACGGAUCUCUUGGUUCUG
rnacentral:misc_RNA from 1 species